rnacentral:rRNA from 1 species
CGGGUGAGUAACGCGUGAGAAUCUGGCUCCAGGUCGGGGAUAACAGUUGGAAACGACUGCUAAUACCGGAUGUGCCGAGAGGUGAAAGAUUUAUUGCCUGGAGAUGAGCUCGCGUCUGAUUAGCUAGUUGGUGGUGUAAGGGACCACCAAGGCGUCGAUCAGUAGCUGGUCUGAGAGGAUGAUCAGCCACACUGGGACUGAGACACGGCCCAGACUCCUACGGGAGGCAGCAGUGGGGAAUUUUCCGCAAUGGGCGAAAGCCUGACGGAGCAAUACCGCGUGAGGGAGGAAGGCUCUUGGGUCGUAAACCUCUUUUCUCAAGGAAGAAGAAAGUGACGUACUUGAGGAAUAAGCAUCGGCUAACUCCGUGCCAGCAGCCGCGGUAAUACGGAGGAUGCAAGCGUUAUCCGGAAUGAUUGGGCGUAAAGGGUCUGCAGGUGGAACUGAAAGUCUGCUGUUAAAGAGUUUGGCUUAACCAAAUAAAAGCGGUGGAAACUACAGAACUAGAGUGCGGUAGGGGCAAAAGGAAUUCCUGGUGUAGCGGUGAAAUGCGUAGAUAUCAGGAAGAACACCGGUGGCGAAAGCGUUUUGCUAGACCGUAACUGACACUGAGGGACGAAAGCUAGGGGAGCGAAUGGGAUUAGAUACCCCAGUAGUCCUAGCCGUAAACGAUGGAUACUAGGCGUGGCUUGUAUCGACCCGAGCCGUGCCGGAGCUAACGCGUUAAGUAUCCCGCCUGGGGAGUACGCACGCAAGUGUGAAACUCAAAGGAAUUGACGGGGGCCCGCACAAGCGGUGGAGUAUGUGGUUUAAUUCGAUGCAACGCGAAGAACCUUACCAAGACUUGACAUCCUGCGAAUCCUGGUGAAAGCUAGGAGUGCCUUAGGGAGCGCAGAGACAGGUGGUGCAUGGCUGUCGUCAGCUCGUGUCGUGAGAUGUUGGGUUAAGUCCCGCAACGAGCGCAACCCUCGUUUUUAGUUGCCAGCAUUAAGUUGGGCACUCUAGAGAGACUGCCGGUGACAAACCGGAGGAAGGUGAGGAUGACGUCAAGUCAGCAUGCCCCUUACGUCUUGGGCUACACACGUACUACAAUGCUACGGACAGAGGGCAGCAAGCCAGGGAUGGCAAGCGAAUCCAGAAACCGUAGCUCAGUUCAGAUCGAAGGCUGCAACUCGCCUUCGUGAAGGAGGAAUCGCUAGUAAUUGCAGGUCAGCAUACUGCAGUGAAUUCGUUCCCGGGCCUUGUACACACCGCCCGUCACACCAUGGAAGUUGGUCACGCCCGAAGUCAUUACCCCAACCGAAAGGAGGGGGAUGCCUAAGGUAGGACUGGUGACUGGGGUGAAGUCGUAACAAGGUAAGCCGU